rnacentral:rRNA from 1 species
GACGUAGGAGGCGAGCGUUAUCCGGAUUCACUGGGCGUAAAGCGCAUGUAGGCGGUUCGAUAAGUCCGUGGUUAAAGCCCCUGGCUCAACUGGGGGAGGUCCAUGGAGACUGUCAGACUUGAGGGCAACAGAGGCACGUGGAACUCCCGGUGUAGCGGUGGAAUGCGUAGAGAUCGGGAAGAACACCCGUGGCGAAGGCGACGUGCUGGGUUGCACCUGACGCUGAGAUGCGAAAGUGUGGGGAGCAAACGGG